rnacentral:tRNA from 1 species
GCUUUUAGCUCAGUGGUUAGAGCGUUCGACUCCCAUGCCGGUGUGUGUGGCGGGUUCGAGGGCCGUGAGCA